UACGUAGGCAGCGAGCGUUGUUCGGAAUUACUGGGCGUAAAGAGUGUGUAGGCGGUGCUCUAAGUUCGGUGUGAAAUCUCCUGGCUCAACUGGGAGGGUGCGCUAUAGACUGUGGGACUAGAGUGUGGGAGAGGAAAGUGGAAUUCCUGGUGUAGCGGUGAAAUGCGUAGAUAUCAGGAGGAACACCGGUGGUGUAAACGGCUUUCUGGACCAUAAACUGACGCUGAGGCACGAAAGCGUGGGUAGCAAACAGG
rnacentral:rRNA from 1 species